rnacentral:sRNA from 1 species
GCUGGGCAUAGUGGUGCGUGCCCGUAGUCCCAGGUACUUGGGAGGUUAAGUCAGGAGGAUCACUUGAGCCCAAGGGCUGGAGGCCAGCCUGGGCAACAUAGUGAGACCUAGUUUCAA